rnacentral:tRNA from 2 species
GGAGAGAUGGCAGAGUGGUCGAAUGCGGCGGUCUCGAAAUCCGUUGUACCGCAAGGUACCGGGGGGGUCGAAUCCCGCCCUCUCCG